rnacentral:sRNA from 1 species
UGACUGUCUCAACAGGUUUUCGCCAUGAC